UUCUCUGAGGUGGGGCAUCCCAUGGAGUGAAGUCAGGUCACAGCCUAACCAGAUUUAACACUUUUCAGACCUGGCUGUGUGAUACACGGUCUAAGACAUGCCCUGUCUUCAACGUAAUAUUUGGUUGUCUCUGUUUUAUAAUUCACAGCUGGAGAGACAGAAGCUGGGAGCUGGAAAAUGUCAGCGCAGCGCGGAGAAUAUUUUUAGCAGCUCCUGAGAUAUAAUUAUGUGAUGUCACGCCAGUGAUAUCUUCAGAAACCCCGAGCGCCGGUACAAGGCAUCUUCAGACAUGGUGUCGGCUCGCAGAUGCAGAGUCGGAGCGAGUGGAACUUGAUACCCAAGCCUGCUCCAACACACAGAGCAAAGAUAGCAUGCAGUCAGACUGUCAGGAAGGGCAGGCAGAUGAUAGGACAAGAUUGCAGCCAGCAGGAUAGCCACGAAUCCAAGAAAGAAACGAAUGGCAGAACAGCUCUAAAGAUGUCCUGGAUACUGUGGCGGCUAGUGCCCACGAUGGAGCUAACUCUGCAGUUUAUUUUAAUCCUGUGUAGUCGCACCCUCCCACCCAAUACCAGAUAGUGAUGCAGACAGUUAAAAUCCUCUCCACAGUACAUCUGUAGAAAUUUCUGAGUGUUUUUGGUGACAUACCAAAUCUUCUCAAAUUCCAAAUGGAAUACAGCUUCUGUCGUGCUUGCUUUGUAGCUGCAUCGAUAUGUUGGGUCCAGGAUAGAUCCUCAGAGAUAUUGACAACCAGGAACUUAAAAUUUCUGAUUCUUUCCACAUCUGAUCCCUCUGUAAAGACUGGUGUGUGUUCCCUCGCACUACCCUCUCUGAAGUCCCCAAUCAGUUCAUUGGUCUGACUGAUGCUGAAUGCAAGGUUGUUGCCACUCAACUAGCUGAUCUAUCUCGCUCCUGUAUGUACUCUUGUCACCAUCUGAAACUCUGCCAACAAUAGUUGUAUUGUCAGCAAAUUUAUAGAUGACUUUUGAGCUGGGCCGAGCCACAUAGCCGUGGGUGCAGAGAGAGCAGAGCAGUGGGCUAAGCACACAUCCCUGAGCUGCAGCAGUGUUGAUUGUCAGUGAGGUUGAGAUGUUAUUUCUGAUCUGUACAGACUGUGGUCUUCCAGUUAGGAAGUCAAGGAUCCAGUUGCACAGGGAGGUACAGAGACCUAUGUUCUGGAGCUUUUGAUCAGAACUCUAGGAAUGAAUGUGUUAAGUGCUGAGCUGUAGUCAAUAAACAGCAUCCUGACAUAGGUAUUUGUAUUGUCCAGGUGAUCCAAGGCUACAUAAAGAACCAAUGAGAUUGCAUUUGCCAUAGACCUAUUGUGGCAAUAGGCAAGUUGCAGUAGUUCCAGGUCCUUGCUGAGAAAGGAGUUAAUUUUAGCCAUAACCAACUUCUCAAAGCACUUCAUCACUGUAGAUGUGAGUGUCAUUAAGGCAGCUCACCCUGCUCUUCUUGGAUGCUGGUAUGAUUGUUGCUCUUUUGAAGCAGGUGGGAACUUCUGACUGUAGCAAUGAGAAACUGAAAAUUCUUUGAGGUUUUUACACAAAUCAUCUGGACAGAAUGAGUGAACAGCAAAUGGCAGUCACCAUCCCAAAUUCAGCAAUGGAUAAUCUGCAAUUUAGCAUUUAAACCUGAAAUGUUAAAUACAUCUUGGUGGUCUUUGUA